CCUACGGGUGGCUGCAGUGGGGAAUCUUCCGCAAUGGGCGCAAGCCUGACGGAGCAACGCCGCGUGAAUGAAGAAGGUCUUCGGAUCGUAAAGUUCUGUUCUUAGGGAAGAAGUCUUAGGUUGUGAAUAAUGACUUAAGGUGACGGUACCUAUGGAGAAAGCUCCGGCUAACUACGUGCCAGCAGCCGCGGUAAUACGUAGGGAGCGAGCGUUAUCCGGAUUUAUUGGGUUUAAAGGGUGCGUAGGCUGUGAGGUAAGUCAGCGGUGAAAUGCCCCCGCUCAACGGGGUGAAGUGCCAUUGAUACUGCCGUGCUGGAAUGCGGAUGCCGUGGGAGGAAUGUGUGGUGUAGCGGUGAAAUGCAUAGAUAUCACACAGAACACCGAUUGCGAAGGCAGCUCACGUAUCCGCGAUUGACGCUGAUGCACGAAAGCGUGGGUAUCAAACAGGAUUAGAUACCCCUGGUAGUC
rnacentral:rRNA from 1 species